CACCACUGUCCAGCUUCAUUUUUACGUUUUGAAGAAAACAUUUCUGUAGUUUUCCACAGUGGUGACACCAUUUCAUAGUUCUGUGGCUUUUCUGGGGAGAAGUAAAAGAAACAACCAUUCACCCUAAAUAGGGAGUGAGCCAAGAGGCCAAAACAAGUCCAGCCUGGCAAAUAAUUGAGCUGCUUGGGGUUGAAUGAAGCCUUAGUGCCACUCAGGCAAGCCCUGCUCAGUUUUCUCCCUCAUACACUCUAGCAAGUUUAAGAAUAAGUGCAGCCGGGGCCAGAGGGCGUGGUGAUUGGAAUCCCAGGGGAGGGGCGUGUGAGUUUCUUGUGAUCCUCUUACUCCAUCUCCUAGAGUGAAUAUUAACAGUACUGUGAUGGUAGAUGUAGCAGAGUUCUGGCCACAUUCAAGGAGCAGCAGUGAACAACGCUGUCAAAAUCGAACAAAGUGAAACCCACGUUGGAAACUCCCAGAACACAGUGUACCGCUGAAGAACAGCACCUAACUGACAGCUGGGGACAGGAGGUGCUGGCCUUGGGUUGAUGACUCAAAAGCACUCAGUUGAAGAUCUUUGUGAUUUUUCUCAGCCUUUUCCUCACAGAUUCAGGACGGCAGCUUCAGCUCCAGAUCCCACAUCUGCCUCUAUGGAAAGAGGGAGGAGGGAGAGAGGGAAGACUCUACUAGGAAACAGAAUUUAUGCCCAGAGUUCUUCCCUCCUUGCUCUCCUGUGUAGCUUCUAUUUAUUAGUUACAAACACAACUUGAGACACGUUUGUUUAUUCGCAUGGUUUCUGUGGGUCAGGUCUUGGAUGAUGGCGUCCAUAGAUUCCUUUGCACAAGUCUGGCAAGCAGCACUGUCUUCAAAGGUUUCCAAGCUCCCUCAGGUUGUUACAGAGAUCAUUUCCUUACAGCCUCAGAACUCAUAGACACAUGCAUGUUAAAGGCCAGAAUGACUGGACUCUUAUUUACUUAUAUUUGGUGUGUGUGUGUGUGUGUGUGUGUGUGUGAGUGUGUGCCCACUUCCCACAGCAUACAGAUGGAGGCCAGAGGACAACUCUCCGGAGUUUAUUCUCUCCUUCUCCCAUGUUGAUUUGAGAAUUGAACUCAGGUUGUCAGGCUUGGCAACAAGCGCCCUUACCAGAUAAGCCAUCUGGCUGGACCAUGUGUGGUCCACAGAGAAGACCCAGGAGCACCUCACCGAGACCUUCAAGGAAAACCACUGGUUCCAAACAGGAGGCCGUCUGGACUCACAGCAGAAACCCGGCCCCAAUGACGUCACGUGGCAGCCAGGUGAUCCUCGGCCUCUGGCGUCAAGCGCUGAUGACGUCAUCCCGGCGCUGGGCCUCUCCCCCUGGCCUUGUUGGCCUAGUUUACGUGGGUCUGUCCGGCGCUCCCGCCCCCUCCCACCUGCGGGGGGCGGAGGCCGGGCGGAGGGGGCGGG